CCUAACGGGGGGCAGCAGUGGGGAAUAUUGCACAAUGGGCGCAAGCCUGAUGCAGCCAUGCCGCGUGUAUGAAGAAGGCCUUCGGGUUGUAAAGUACUUUCAGCGAGGAGGAAGGCAUUAAGGUUAAUAACCUUGGUGAUUGACGUUACUCGCAGAAGAAGCACCGGCUAACUCCGUGCCAGCAGCCGCGGUAAUACGGAGGGCGCAAGCGUUAAUCGGAAUUACUGGGCGUAAAGCGCACGCAGGCGGUCUGUCAAGUCGGAUGUGAAAUCCCCGGGCUCAACCUGGGAACUGCAUUCGAAACUGGCAGGCUAGAGCCUUGUAGAGGGGGGUAGAAUUCCAGGUGUAGCAGAGAAAUGCGUAGAGAUCUGGAGGAAUACCGGUGGCGAAGGCGGCCCCCUGGACAAAGACUGACGCUCAGGUGCGAAAGCGUGGGGAGCAAACAGGAUUAGAUACCCUUGUAGUC
rnacentral:rRNA from 1 species